GCCCAUCCUGAGCCAGCACCUGCCUUUACGACCAUGUUCAAGGGACUGAGCAAAGGCUCCCAGGGGAAGGGGUCCCCCAAGGGCUCCCCAGCCAAGGGGUCCCCCAAAGGCUCCCCCAGCAAGCACAGCCGGGCUGCCACCCAGGAGCUGGCCCUGCUCAUCUCCCGCAUGCAAGCCAGCGCCGACCAGGUGGAGCGGGACAUCCUGGAGACGCAGAAGAGGCUGCAGCAGGACCGGCUGAACAGUGAGCAGAGCCAGGCCCUGCAGCACCAGCAGGAGACGGGUCGCAGCCUGAAGGAGGCCGAGGUGCUGCUCAAGGACCUCUUCCUGGACGUGGACAAGGCCCGGCGGCUCAAGCACCCGCAGGCUGAGGAGAUUGAGAAGGACAUCAAGCAGCUGCACGAGCGGGUGACCCAGGAGUGUGCGGAGUACCGUGCCCUGUACGAGAAGAUGGUGCUGCCCCCUGACAUGGGACCCAGGGUCGACUGGGCACGCGUGCUGGAGCAGAAACAGAAGCAGGUCUGCGCAGGCCAGUACGGGCCGGGCAUGGCGGAGCUGGAGCAACAGAUCGCCGAGCACAACAUCCUGCAGAAGGAGAUCGACGCCUAUGGGCAGCAGCUGCGGAGUCUCGUGGGGCCGGAUGCAGCCACCAUCCGGAGCCAAUACCGAGACCUACUGAAGGCGGCGUCGUGGCGCGGGCAGAGCCUGGGCAGCCUGUAUACGCACCUGCAGGGCUGCACGCGGCAGCUGAGCGCCCUGGCGGAGCAGCAGCGCCGCAUCCUGCAGCAGGACUGGAGCGACCUCAUGGCCGACCCUGAGGGCGUGCGGCGGGAGUACGAGCACUUCAAGCAGCACGAGCUGCUGAGCCAGGAGCAGAGCGUGAACCAGCUGGAGGACGACGGCGAGCGCAUGGUGGAGCUGCGGCACCCCGCGGUGGGGCCCAUCCAGGCCCACCAGGAGGCCCUGAAGAUGGAGUGGCAGAACUUCCUGAACCUGUGCAUCUGCCAGGAGACCCAGCUGCAGCACGUGGAGGACUACCGCCGGUUCCAGGAAGAGGCGGACUCAGUCAGCCAGACCCUGGCGAAGCUCAACUCCAACUUGGAUGCCAAGUCCAACCCUGCACCUGGGGGCCCCCCUGGCGCCCCCACAGAGCUGCUGCAACAGCUGGAGGCAGAGGAAAAACAGCUGGCUGUCACCGAGAGGGCCACUGGGGACCUGCAGCGGCGAAGCCGGGAUGUGGCCCCUCUGCCACAGCGAAGAAACCCGCCUCAGCAGCCCCUGCACGUGGACAGCAUCUGCGACUGGGACUCAGGAGAAGUGCAGCUGCUGCGGGGUGAGCAGUAUAAGCUGAUAGAUAACACUGACCUGUACAGCUGGGUCGUGCAGGGCCCUGGUGGGGAGACCAAGCGUGCUCCCGCCGCCUGCUUCUGCAUCCCAGCACCAGACCCUGAUGCCGUGGCCAGGGCCUCCCGGUAGGUCUGUGUAGGGAUACUCAGGGGCAGGCUGUGGGCAGAGCAGGCCAGCCCUGUGCUGUCCAAGCCCAUGCCCCGGCAGACCCCUGCUCAAAGGCCAGCCUCCACCUGAAGCUGCGUCUACUGGGGCUGGGGAGGGAGAGAGGCAGAGUGAGGACCUCUUUCUCCAAUCCCCUCUUCGUUCUAGGCUGGCCUCGGAGCUGCAGGCCCUGAAGCAGAAAUUGGCCACAGUCCAGAGCCGCCUGAAGGCCAGUGCUGCAGAGUCUCUUCGGCCCAGCCAGCAGGGUACCCAGGGUGGCCCGGGGGAGGGGUGGCUGUGGGGCUAGAAAGAGUAGAUUCCGACUUCCGACUGGUCUGUGAUGGGCAGGGGUCGCCUUGGGUUAGGGACCAUCACUCUGGGGAUUUCAUCUCUGGGGUGGCCCUGCCCAUCCCCUCCACCCUACCCCGACAGGACCCUCUGUGGGCACCUGGCGGGGGCACCCAUCUGGCAGUCUGGAGAUAGGCCCUGGGCCCUCACCAGCACCUCUGUCCCCAGCUCCAUCUGGCUCGGCCCCGGCCAACCCACAUGCCCAGAAGCUCCUGACACAGAUGACCCGGCUGGAUGGAGACCUGGGACAGAUAGAGAGGCAGGUGCUGGCCUGGGCGCGGGCCCCGCUGAGCCGCACCACACCCCUGGAGGACCUGGAGGGCCGCAUCCACAGCAAUGAGGGUACAGCCCAGCGCCUGCAGAGCCUGGGAACGGAGAAGAAGACAGCCCAGAAGGAGUGCGAGGCGUUUCUGUCUACGCGGCCCGUGGGCCCCGCUGCCCUGCAGCUGCCGGUAGCCCUCAACAGCGUGAAGAACAAUUUCAGUGAUGUGCAGGUUCUGUGCAGCCUCUACGGGGAGAAAGCCAAGGCUGCCCUGGGUCUGGAGCGGCAGAUCCAGGAUGCGGACAGGGUCAUCCGAGGCUUCGAGGCCACCCUGGUGCAGGAGGCCCCCAUCCCUGCUGAACCGGGGGCUCUGCGGGAGAGGGUCAGCGAGCUGCAGCGCCAGCGGAGGGAGCUGCUGGAACAGCAGACCUGCGUGCUGCGGCUGCACCGCGCGCUGAAGGCCUCGGAGCACGCAUGCGCCGCGCUGCAGAACAACUUCCAGGAGUUCUGCCAAGACCUGCCUCGCCAGCAGCGCCAGGUGCGAGCCCUCACGGACCGCUACCACGCCGCAGGGGACCAGCUGGACCUGCGGGAGAAGAUGGUGCAGGAUGCCGCCCUCACCUACCAGCAGUUCAAGAACUGCAAGGAUAACCUGAGCUCCUGGCUGGAGCACCUGCCCCACAGCCAGGUGCGGCCCAGCGACGGCCCCAGCCAGAUCGCCUACAAGCUGCAGGCGCAGAAGAGGCUGACGCAGGAGAUCCAGAGCCGAGAGCGGGACAGGGCCACGGCAUCCCGCCUCUCCCAGGCCCUGCAGGCAGCGCUCCAGGACUAUGAGCUCCAGGCAGACACCUACCGCUGCUCUUUGGAGCCCACCCUGGGAGUGUCAGUCCCCAAGAGACCCCGAGUGGCUCCCCUGCAGGAGAGCAUCCAGGCCCAGGAGAAGAACCUUGCAAAGGCCUAUACUGAGGUUGCAGCAGCACAGCAGCAGCUGCUCCAGCAGCUGGAGUUUGCUAGAAAAAUGCUGGAGAAGAAGGAGCUCAGUGAAGACAUCCGAAGGACCUAUGAUGCAAAGCAGGGCUCUGAGAGCCCUACCCAAGCAGGGAGAGAGUCAGAGGCCCUGAAGGCUCAGCUGGAAGAGGAGAGGAAGCGGGUAGCUCAGGUGCAGCAUGAGCUGGAGGCGCAGAGGAGCCAACUGCUGCAGCUGAGGACCCAGCGGCCCUUGGAGAGGCUGGAGGAGACCGAAGUGGUGGAGUUCUACCGGGACCCCCAGCUGGAGGGCAGCCUGUCCAGGGUGAAGGCCCAGAUGGAAGAGGAGGGCAAGCGGCGGGCUGGCCUGCAGGCAGACCUGGAAGUGGCAGCCCAGAAGGUCGUGCAGCUGGAAAGCAAGAGGAAGACCAUGCAGCCUCAUCUGCUGACCAAGGAGGUCACCCAGGUGGAGAGGGACCCUGGCCUGGACAGCCAGGCGGCCCAGCUCAGGAUCCAGAUCCAGCAGCUCCGCGGAGAGGAUGCUGUCAUCUCGGCCCGGCUGGAAGGGCUGAAGAAGGAGCUACUGGCCCUUGAGAAGAGGGAGGUGGACGUGAAGGAGAAGGUCAUGGUGAAAGAGGUGGUCAAGGUGGAGAAGAAUCUGGAAAUGGUCAAGGCGGCCCAGGCUCUGAGGCUGCAGAUGGAGGAGGAUGCUGCGCGGAGGAAGCAGGCGGAGGAGGCUGUGGCCAAGCUACAGGCUCGUAUACAAGACCUGGAGCAGGCUAUCAGCUCAGUGGAGCCCAAGGUCAUCGUGAAGGAGGUGAAGAAGGUGGAGCAGGACCCAGGGCUCCUCCAGGAGUCCUCCAGGCUGAGGAGCCUCCUCGAGGAGGAGAGGACCAAGAACGCGACCCUGGCCAGGGAGCUGAGUGACCUGCACAGCAAGUACAGCGUGGUGGAGAAGCAGAGGCCCAAAGUGCAGCUCCAGGAGCGAGUCCACGAGAUCUUCCAGGUGGAUCCGGAGACAGAGCAGGAGAUCACUCGGCUCAAGGCCAAGCUGCUGGAGAUGGCGGGCAGGAGGAGUGGUGUGGAGAAAGAGGUGGAGAAGCUGCUGCCCGACCUGGAGGUCCUGCGGGCCCAGAAGCCCACGGUGGAGUACAAGGAGGUGACCCAGGAGGUGGUGAGGCAUGAGAGGAGCCCCGAGGUGCUGCGCGAGAUCGACCGCCUGAAGGCUCAGCUCAACGAGCUCGUCAACAGCCACGGGCGCUCCCAGGAGCAGCUCAUCCGCCUGCAGGGUGAGCGCGACGAGUGGAGGCGCGAGCGGGCCAAGGUGGAAACCAAGACGGUGAGCAAGGAGGUGGUGCGCCACGAGAAGGACCCGGUGCUGGAGAAAGAAGCAGAGCGGCUCCGCCAGGAGGUGCGGGAGGCGGCCCAGAAGAGGCGGGCCGCGGAGGACGCGGUGUACGAGCUGCAGAGCAAGCGCCUGCUGCUGGAGAGGAGGAAGCCCGAAGAGAAGGUGGUGGUGCAGGAGGUGGUGGUCACCCAGAAGGACCCGAAGCUGCGCGAGGAGCACAGCCGGCUGAGCCAGAGCCUGGAUGAGGAGGUGGGCCGGCGGCGCCAGCUGGAGCUUGAGGUGCAGCAGCUGCGGGCCGGCGUGGAGGAGCAGGAGGGCCUGCUCAGCUUCCAGGAGGACCGCAGCAAGAAGCUGGCCGUGGAGAGGGAGCUGCGGCAGCUGACCUUGAGGAUCCAGGAGCUCGAGAAGCGGCCUCCCACGGUGCAGGAGAAGAUCAUCAUGGAGGAAGUGGUCAAGCUGGAGAAGGACCCGGACCUGGAGAAGUCCACGGAAGCCCUGCGGCGGGACCUGGACCAGGAGAAGACCCAGGUGACGGAGCUGCAUCGGGAGUGCAAGAACCUGCAGGUCCAGAUUGAUGUCCUCCAGAAAGCCAAAUCGCAGGAGAAGACCAUCUACAAGGAAGUGAUCCGGGUGCAGAAGGACCGCGUGCUGGAGGAUGAGCGGGCCCGCGUGUGGGAGAUGCUCAACAGGGAGCGCACAGCCCGGCAGGCCCGGGAGGAGGAGGCGCGGCGCCUGCGGGAGCGCAUUGACCGGGCCGAGACGCUGGGGAGAACCUGGUCCCGGGAGGAGUCCGAGCUGCAGAGGGCCCGGGACCAGGCAGACCAGGAGCGUGGGCGGCUGCAGCAGGAGCUGCGGGUUCUGGAGAGGCAGAAGCAGCAGCAGACACUGCAGCUGCAGGAGUCGUCGAAGCUGCUCAGCCAGAAGACGGAGAGCGAGCGGCAGAAGGCGGCCCAGCGGGGCCAGGAGCUCUCACGGCUCGAGGCGGCCAUCCUCCGCGAGAAGGACCAGAUCUACGAGAAGGAGCGGACGCUCCGGGACCUCCACGCCAAGGUGAGCCGGGAGGAGCUCAGCCAGGAGACCCAGACGCGAGAGACCAACCUUUCCACCAAGAUCUCCAUCCUGGAACCCGAGACGGGGAAGGACAUGUCCCCGUACGAGGCCUACAAGAGGGGCAUCAUCGACAGGGGCCAGUACUUGCAGCUCCAGGAGCUCGAGUGUGACUGGGAGGAGGUCACCACCUCGGGGCCCUGCGGGGAGGAGUCUGUGCUCCUGGACCGCAAGAGCGGGAAGCAGUACUCCAUCGAGGCCGCCCUCCGCUGCCGGCGCAUCUCUAAGGAGGAGUACCAUCUGUACAAGGACGGCCACCUACCCAUCUCAGAGUUUGCGCUGCUUGUGGCUGGGGAGACCAAGCCAAGCUCCUCACUGUCCAUCGGCUCUAUCAUCUCCAAGUCCCCGCUCGCCUCCCCGGUCCCCCAGAGCACCAGUUUCUUCUCUCCCAGCUUCUCUCUCGGGCUCGGUGAUGACAGCUUCCCUAUCGCCGGGAUCUAUGACACAACCACAGACAACAAGUGCAGCAUCAAGACGGCCGUGGCCAAGAACAUGCUGGACCCCAUCACUGGGCAGAAGCUACUGGAGGCCCAGGCAGCCACAGGGGGCAUCGUGGACCUGCUCAGCCGUGAGCGCUACUCUGUGCACAAGGCAAUGGAGAGGGGCCUGAUCGAGAACACCUCCACGCAGAGGCUGCUCAACGCCCAGAAGGCCUUCACCGGCAUCGAGGACCCCGUCACCAAGAAGAGGCUGUCGGUGGGCGAGGCCGUCCAGAAGGGCUGGAUGCCCCGGGAGAGCGUGCUCCCACACCUGCAGGUGCAGCACCUGACCGGGGGGCUCAUCGACCCCAAGAGGACAGGCCGCAUCCCCAUCCAGCAGGCCCUCCUCUCCGGGAUGAUCAGUGAAGAGCUGGCCCAGCUCCUGCAGGACGAGUCCAGCUACGAGAAGGAUUUGACAGACCCCAUCUCCAAGGAACGGCUGAGCUACAAGGAGGCCAUGGGCCGCUGCCGCAAAGACCCCCUGAGCGGCCUGCUGCUCCUGCCAGCGGCACUGGAGGGGUACCGCUGCUACCGCUCCGCCUCCCCCACUGUCCCGCGCUCCCUUUGCUGACACAGGCCAAGCAGCCAGUGG
rnacentral:sRNA from 1 species